rnacentral:rRNA from 1 species
AGGACGAACGCUGGCGGCACGCUUAAAACAUGCAAGUCGAACGUGAAGCCCGGGCUUGCCCGGGUGGAAAGUGGCGAACGGGUGCGUAACACGUGAGCAACCUGCCCCGAAGACUGGGAUAACACCGGGAAACCGGUGCUAAUACCGGAUGCCUUCACCAUGUCGCAUGGCGAGGUGAAGAAAUGGAUUCCGCUUCGGGAUGGGCUCGCGGCCUAUCAGCUUGUUGGUGGGGUAACGGCCUACCAAGGCAACGACGGGUAGCUGGUCUGAGAGGAUGUCCAGCCACACUGGGACUGAGACACGGCCCAGACUCCUACGGGAGGCAGCAGUUAGGAAUCUUGCGCAAUGGGCGAAAGCCUGACGCAGCGAUGCCGCGUGCGGGAUGAAGGCCCUCGGGUCGUAAACCGCUUUCAGCAGGGACGAUAGUGACGGUACCUGCAGAAGAAGCCCCGGCAACUACGUGCCAGCAGCCGC